GGGGAUUUAGCUCAGUGGUAGAGCGCUUGCCUAGCAAGCGCAAGGUCCUGUGUUCAGUCCCCA
rnacentral:tRNA from 1 species